rnacentral:rRNA from 1 species
GCGUUGUUCGGAAUUACUGGGCGUAAAGAGUGUGUAGGCGGUGCUCUAAGUUCGGUGUGAAAUCUCCUGGCUUAACUGGGAGGGUGCGCCGGAAACUGGAAUGCUCGAACGUGGGAGAGGAAAGCGGAAUUCCUGGUGUAGCGGUGAAAUGCGUAGAUAUCAGGAGGAACACCUGCGGUGUAGACGGCUUUCUGGACCAUUGUUGACGCUGAGACACGAAAGCGUG